rnacentral:rRNA from 1 species
AUUGAACGCUGGCGGCAUGCUUUACACAUGCAAGUCGAACGGCAGCGCGGGGCAACCUGGCGGCGAGUGGCGAACGGGUGAGUAAUACAUCGGAACGUACCCAGAAGUGGGGGAUAACGUAGCGAAAGUUACGCUAAUACCGCAUACGUUCUACGGAAGAAAGUGGGGGACCUUCGGGCCUCAUGCUUUUGGAGCGGCCGAUGUCUGAUUAGCUAGUUGGUGAGGUAAAGGCACACCAAGGCGACGAUCAGUAGCUGGUCUGAGAGGACGACCAGACACGCUGGGACUGGGACACCGCCCAGACUCCUACGGGAGGCAGCAGUGGGGAAUUUUGGACAAUGGGCGCAAGCCUGAUCCAGCAAUGCCGCGUGAGUGAAGAAGGCCUUCGGGUUGUAAAGCUCUUUUGUCAGGGAAGAAACGGCUGAGGAUAAUACCUUCGGCUAAUGACGGUACCUGAAGAAUAAGCACCGGCUAACUACGUGCCAGCAGCCGCGGUAA